rnacentral:rRNA from 1 species
AUUAAACGCUGGCGGCAUGCCUUACACAUGCAAGUCGAACGGCAGCACGGGGGCAACCCUGGUGGCGAGUGGCGGACGGGUGAGUAAAGCAUCGGAACGUAUCCUGGAGUGGGGGAUAACGUAGCGAAAGUUACGCUAAUACCGCAUAUUCUGUGAGCAGGAAAGCAGGGGAUCGCAAGACCUUGCGCUCUGGGAGCGGCCGAUGUCGGAUUAGCUAGUUGGCGGGGUAAAGCCUACCAAGGCGACGAUCCGUAGCGGGUCUGAGAGGAUGAUCCGCCACACUGGGACUGAGACACGGCCCAGACUCCUACGGGAGGCAGCAGUGGGGAAUUUUGGACAAUGGGCGGAAGCCUGAUCCAGCCAUGCCGCGUGAGUGAAGAAGGCCU